rnacentral:rRNA from 1 species
AGGUGACCUGCGGAAGGAUCAUUAAAGAGUAAGGGUCUUCUAGGCCCGACCUCCCAACCCUUUGUUUACCAAACCAUCGUUGCUUCGGCGGGCCCGUCCCAGGACCGCCGGAGGACUGUCACACCGUCCUCUGGCCCGCGCCCGUCGAUAGCCCUUCUCACUUAAACUCUGAACCAAACGUGUCCUGUCUGAGUGAUUAUUAUCAAAAAUUAAAGCAAAAACUUUCAACAACGGAUCUCUUGGUUCUGGCAUCGAUGAAGAACGCAGCGAAAUGCGAUAAGUAAUGCGAAUUGCAGAAUUCCAGUGAGUCAUCGAAUCUUUGAACGCACAUUGCGCCCUUUGGUAUUCCGAAGGGCAUGCCUGUUCGAGCGUCAUUAUCACCCCUCGAGCCCCUGUGGCUUGGCUUUGGACGGCCUGGUCAGGCGACUGACCCCUCCUAAAGACAAUGACGGCGGCCUCGCAGGACCCCCGGUACACUGAGCUUCUUAACUGAGCACGUAUCGGAUCGAGGGUUCUCGGGGCACGGUCUCCUUUCCCCCCUCCCCUCCCCGGGGCGGUGGGAAAACAAAUCUUCUCAGGUUGACCUCGGAUCAGGUAGGGAUACCCGCUGAACUUAAGCAUAUCAAUAAGCGGAGGAAAAGAAACCAACAGGGAUUGCCUCAGUAACGGCGAGUGAAGCGGCAACAGCUCAAAUUUGAAAUCUGGCCUCUUUCGGGGUCCGAGUUGUAAUUUGUAGAG